UACGGGGGGGGCAAGCGUUGUUCGGAAUUACUGGGCGUAAAGGGCUCGUAGGUGGUCAACUAAGUCGGACGUGAAAUCCCUCGGCUUAACCGGGGAACUGCGUCCGAUACUGGAUGACUUGAGUUCGGGAGAGGGAUGCGGAAUUCCAGGUGUAGCGGUGAAAUGCGUAGAUAUCUGGGGGAACACCGGUGGCGAAGGCGGCUCACUGGACCGGUACUGACGCUGAUGCGCGAAAGCGUGGGGAGCAAACGGG
rnacentral:rRNA from 1 species